rnacentral:rRNA from 1 species
UACGGGGGGGGCAAGCGUUUGUUCGGAAUUACUGGGCGUAAAGGGCUCGUAGGUGGCCAACUAAGUCAGACGUGAAAUCCCUCGGCUUAACCGGGGAACUGCGUCUGAUACUGGAUGGCUUGAAUCCGGGAGAGGGAUGCGGAAUUCCAGGUGUAGCGGUGAAAUGCGUAGAUAUCUGGAGGAACACCGGUGGCGAAGGCGGCAUCCUGGACCGGCAUUGACGCUGAGGCGCGAAAGCCAGGGGAGCAAAGCGGG